GACGAACGCUGGCGGCGUGCUUAACACAUGCAAGUCGAACGGAAAGGCCCUGCUUUUGUGGGGUUCUCGAGUGGCGAACGGGUGAGUAACACGUGAGUAACCUGCCCUUGACUUUGGGAUAACUUCAGGAAACUGGGGCUAAUACCGGAUAGGAGCUCCUGCUGCAUGGUGGGGGUUGGAAAGUUUCGGCGGUUGGGGAUGGACUCGCGGCUUAUCAGCUUGUUGGUGGGGUAGUGGCUUACCAAGGCUUUGACGGGUAGCCGGCCUGAGAGGGUGACCGGCGACAAGGGGACUGAGAGACGGAGCAGACGCGUACGGGAGGCAGCAGGGGGGAGUAUUGCACAAUGGGCGGAAGCCUGAGGAAGAAACGCCGCGGGCGGGAUGACGGCCUUCGGGCUGUAAACCGCUUUAGCCUGUGACGAAGCGGGAGUGACGGUAAUGGGUAAAGAAGCACCGGCUAACUACGUG
rnacentral:rRNA from 1 species